CAUCAUUUAAACCAACUUGUUGUGUUUAGACUUGGGAGUUUGAUUACUGAACUGGCAUCUGCUAGUUUGUUGUAUAUCUCUUCUGUAAUGUAUUGAUAGCGAUACAAGCCUUCAGUCGUAACAAGUUUACUUUUUGUUUACAUUCGACUUUGAUUGCCUGUGUUACAUUGUCUAUUUCUUUUCGACAUGGCUUUGCCAUUGUCAACCUAAAG
rnacentral:misc_RNA from 1 species